AGAAAGAUAAAGAGAGAGAGAGAGAAAGAGAGAGAGAGAGAGAGAGAGAAAAAAAUAAAGAAAAAGAAACCAAAUAUCUUCGGAAUUAACGAUUAAUGAACGUAAUGAGAAAGAAUUAGAGGAAUGUUGUGUCGUUGUUGCUAAUUGUGUAAAAGUGAGUUUAAAAUGAAGAAAGAAAGAUAAAAAGAGAGAAAGAGAGAGAUUCAAGGGGGAUUAAAAUGUGUAUGCGUGAGAAUGAAAGAUGAAAGUGAACCAUACGAAUGAAUUGUAAUUACUAUAUAUAUAUAUAUAUACGUAUAUACCCAUAUUAUGCAUACAUACUUAUAUAUAUGUGUGUGUGUGUAUAUAUAUAUAUACACACAUGUCAUCAUUAUCUUAUAAGAUUUAAUCAAUCAUAUUCAUCAAUUGUCUAUUUGUAGAUAUUGAAUACAAGUAUUAAAGAGUUUGAGUUUUAUAAUAUUUCUUAUUGAUUAUUUUUUAAUUUGAUAUGUAUAAAUGAAAACUAGUAGCAUUUGUAGUUAAUUGAAUGGAUCCUUUAUUCUUUAUUCUUUUUUUUUUUUUUAUCUGAAGUGAAAUUAUCUUACACAAUUUUUGAAGAAAAUUAUAGUUUUGAGAAAAAAAAGAAAAGAUACGAAAGAAAGAGAGAGAGAGAGAGAUUUUUGUCAUAUUUCAAUAUCGGAUAGUGAUCUUAGCAGAUAUAUGAAUGUAUGUAUGUAUGUAUGUAUGUAUGUAUAUACAUCUAUAUGAACUAUAUAUAGAGCGAGAAAGAAAGAGAGAAAGAGAGAGAGAGAGAAAGAGUCGUCUCCUUCAGGAAGAAUUUGUACAAACCCGCUGGAGAAAUACGGCGCCAGCAAGUCUGUGAUUUUAGCUUGGUUAAUUCAGUAUUUUUUUAAAUAAAACGAGACAAAAUCAAGAUAAGCGAUAUAAAAAAGAGAAAAAAAGAAAAAAGAGAAAAAAAAGAAGACGAUAGAUUCGAAUUGCGAGUGAAAGAGAGAGAGAGAGAGAGAGAGAGAGAGAAAGAUAA